rnacentral:rRNA from 1 species
CCUACGGGAGGCAGCAGUGGGGAAUAUUGCACAAUGGGGGAAACCCUGAUGCAGCAACGCCGCGUGAAGGAAGACGGUUUUCGGAUUGUAAACUUCUGUUCUUAGUGAAGAAUAAUGACGGUAGCUAAGGAGCAAGCCACGGCUAACUACGUGCCAGCAGCCGCGGUAAUACGUAGGUGGCAAGCGUUUUCCGGAAUUACUGGGGGUAAAGGGAUCGCAGGCGGGAAGACAGGUCAGCUGUGAAAAGUACAGGCUUAACUUGUAGACUGCAGUUGAAACUGGUUUUCUUGAGUGAAGUAGAGGUUGGCGGAAUUCCGAGUGUAGCGGUGAAAUGCGUAGAUAUUCGGAGGAACACCGGUGGCGAAGGCGGCCAACUGGGCUUUAACUGACGCUGAGGCUCGAAAGUGUGGGGAGCGAACAGGAUUAGAUACCCUAGUAGUC